rnacentral:tRNA from 1 species
GGUAGGUUGGCUCUCUGGUUAGAGCGUAGGUCUCGUAACCGAAAGGUUGCGGGAUCGAAUCCCGCUAGAUGCUG